GUGGCCAUAGCUCAACUGGCGGAGCAUCGGGUCGUGGGCCCGAGGGUUGUGGGUUCGAGCCCCACUGGCCACCCCU
rnacentral:tRNA from 1 species